UACGUAGGUGGCAAGCGUUGUCCGGAAUUAUUGGGCGUAAAGCGCGCGUAGGCGGCUUCUUAAGUCUGAGGUGAAAGGUUCAACGCUCAACGUGAACAGUGCCUUGGAUACUGGGAGGCUUGAGUAUGGGAGAGGGCAGUGGAAUGGCUGGUGUAGCGGUGAAAUGCGUAGAUAUCAGUCGGAACACCCAUGGCGAAGGCAGCUGCCUGGCCUAAUACUGACGCUGAGGUGCGAAAGCGUGGGGAGCGAACGGG
rnacentral:rRNA from 1 species